AGUCGGAAAAAACCGAGAGGUUUCUCUUCUCAGGGCUGAGUCACCAGCACGCAGGAGAAGAGGGCGAAGCGGCCACCCGCGUUCUGUGUUCGGAGUCAGGACGAGAAGCAUUGGGUGGGAGCAGGGCGAGGGGCUCGAGUUGGGUCUGCAGCGGGCACAGGACCUAGUUUUGUACAGUUAACGGUGGGGUUGAGUAAAGAGGGGGGCGGUGGGGAGGAUGUAAGCUCCCUUUAUUCCUUUCCCAGCGGACCAGGAGGAAGCUUCGUUGAAUUGAGCGCCCCUGGCUCGUAUAGCAGGCCGAGGAGGGAGCUCAUGGGCAGCGUUGGCUAAGAGUUCGAGAUCAUCUAGAAAUGUCAGAAACGUAGGUUGGGUCGUGAGGUCUCUGAAGACAGUGGGUGAAACUCCAGUGUAAGGCGCUGCGUCCGCUUGGUAGAGAGCCGGCCGAAGUCCGAGUCUUUGUUGCGAGGCGUAGGGCCACCCUGCGCGCCCAGCAGAAGCGCUAGAGGGCACGGUUGCCCGGGGUGAACCGCAUGUCCAAAUGUAACUGUGUGCUCCGAGUUAAAAUUGUUUUUCUGCAGACUUUGCUUGAGCCAACGAUUCCGGAAUUGGGGAAAGGGUUACCUUAGGUAGAAAUCGGAAAUUUAUAGGAGACACAGAGGUAAGGACCAACUGUUAGGACUGAGUGAAAAAUGGUUCCCUCCAACUGUAAAAGUGGAAAAAAAAAUACCUAUCUUAUAGGUGGGGCAGUGAGGAGUAAAUGAGUUUAAUAUAUUUCAAGCUUUUAAAACAACCUCGCCCAUCAUAAGCACUGUUUAAACAUUAGCUCUUAUCUUUUAAAAAUAUUAGUGGAUGUUUAAAAUGAAUGAAUACAAUUUGUCCAAGAAAUAUGGCGUAAGAGCCCAGAAGAAAUAAAGUUUAAUCUUACAAAGGGCUUCUGUAGAAAGAAUACAUGCAUGGAAUUGAUGGAAUUUGGUAUAAAUCUUGAAAAAACUUAA
rnacentral:lncRNA from 1 species